rnacentral:rRNA from 1 species
GACGAACGCUGGCGGCGUGCCUAAUACAUGCAAGUCGAGCGCAGGAAGUCGACGGAACCCUUCGGGGGGAAGUCGACGGAAUGAGCGGCGGACGGGUGAGUAACACGUAAAGAACCUGCCCUCAGGUCUGGGAUAACCACGAGAAAUCGGGGCUAAUACCGGAUGGGUCAUCGGACCGCAUGGUCCGAGGAUGAAAGGCGCUCCGGCGCCGCCUGGGGAUGGCUUUGCGGUGCAUUGGCUAGUUGGUGGGGUAAUGGCCCACCAAGGCGACGAUGCAUAGCCGACCUGAGAGGGUGAUCGGCCACACUGGGACUGAGACACGGCCCAGACUCCUACGGGAGGCAGCAGUAGGGAAUCUUCCACAAUGGACGAAAGUCUGAUGGAGCAACGCCGCGUGAACGAUGAAGGCCUUCGGGUCGUAAAGUUCUGUUGUAAGGGAAGAACAAGUGCCGCAGGCAAUGGCGGCACCUUGACGGUACCUUGCGAGAAAGCCACGGCUAACUACGUGCCAGCCGCCGCCGUAACAC